UACAGAGGGCGCAAGCGUUAUCCGGAAUUAUUGGGCGUAAAGAGCUCGUAGGCGGUUUGUCGCGUCUGCCGUGAAAGUCCGGGGCUCAACUCCGGAUCUGCGGUGGGUACGGGCAGACUAGAGUGAUGUAGGGGAGACUGGAAUUCCUGGUGUAGCGGUGAAAUGCGCAGAUAUCAGGAGGAACACCGAUGGCGAAGGCAGGUCUCUGGGCAUUAACUGACGCUGAGGAGCGAAAGCAUGGGGAGCGAACAGG
rnacentral:rRNA from 1 species